rnacentral:rRNA from 1 species
AUGGUAGGAUAGAGGCCUACCAUGGUGGUAACGGGUAACGGGGUGUUAGGGCACGACACCGGAGAGGGAGCCUGAGAAACGGCUACCACAUCCAAGGAAGGCAGCAGGCGCGCAAAUUACCCAAUCCCGACACGGGGAGGUAGUGACAAUAAAUAACAAUACAGGGUUCUUUGAAUCUUGUAAUUGGAAUGAGUACAAUUUAAAUCUCUUAACGAGGAACAAUUGGAGGGCAAGUCUGGUGCCAGCAGCCGCGGUAAUUCCAGCUCCAAUAGCGUAUAUUAAAGUUGUUGCAGUUAAAAAGCUCGUAGUUGAAUUUCGGGAUCAAUACGUCGGUCGUGCUUUCGGGUACGUACUGGCGUCAUUGGUUUCUCCUUUCUGACGAACCAUGAUGUCAUUAAUUUGGUGUUAUGGGGAGUUAGGACUGUUACUUUGAAAAAAUUAGAGUGUUUAAAGCAGGCAUUAGCUUGAAUACAUUAGCAUGGAAUAAUGAAAUAGGACGUUCGAUCCUAUUUUGUUGGUUUCUAGGAUCAACGUAAUGAUUAAUAGGGAUAGUUGGGGGCAUUAGUAUUCAAUUGUCAGAGGUGAAAUUCUUGGAUUUAUUGAAGACUAACUACUGCGAAAGCAUUUGCCAAGGAUGUUUUCAUUAAUCAAGAACGAAAGUUAGGGGAUCGAAGACGAUCAGAUACCGUCGUAGUCUUAACCAUAAACUAUGCCGACUAGGGAUCGGAUGAUGUUAAUUUUUUAAUGACUCAUUCGGCGCCUUACGGAAACCAAAGUGUUUGGG